rnacentral:rRNA from 1 species
AUUGAACGCUGGCGGCAGGCCUAACACAUGCAAGUCGAACGAGUGGCGGACGGGUGAGUAAUGUCUGGGAAACUGCCUGAUGGAGGGGGAUAACUACUGGAAACGGUAGCUAAUACCGCAUAUCAUAAGCUGUGCCCAGAUGGGAUUAGCUAGUUGGUGGGGUAACGGCUCACCAAGGCGACGAUCCCUAGCUGGCCUGAGAGGAUGACCAGUCACACUGGAAUGUAGACAAGGUCCAGACUCCUACGGGAGGCAGCAGUGGGGAAUAUUGCACAAUGGGCGCAAGCCUGAUGCAGCCAUGCCGCGUGUAGGAAGAAGGCCUUCGGGUUGUAAAGUAAUUUCAGCGGGGAGGCGUGACCCGCAGAAGAAGCACCGGCUAACUCCGUGCCAGCAGCCGCGGUAAUUC